rnacentral:tRNA from 1 species
UAAAAGAUAAGCUAAAUUAAGCUAGUGGGUUCAUACCCCGUUUAUAAAGGUUUUACCCCUUUUCUUUUUA